rnacentral:misc_RNA from 1 species
CGCACAUUGCGCCCCUUGGUAUUCCGGGGGGCAUGCCUGUUCGAGCGUCAUUACACCACUCAAGCCUGGCUUGGUAUUGGGCGUCCCGCGGUUUCCUGCAGCCGCGCGCCCUAAUGUCUUCGGCUGAGCCGUCCGUCUCUAAGCGUUGUGGUCUUUACAGAUUUCGCUUGCGAGGCCGGGCCGGUUCGAUCGCCGUUAAACCCCCCUCUCUAAAGGUUGACCUCGGAUCAGGUAGGGAUACCCGCUGAACUUAA